UUUUUUUUUUUAAUGGAAAAAGGAGGCUUAUAUUAAUAGGAUAUAUAAAUACACAUAAGCUGUAUGAUGAGUUUAAAUAAUAAAGAAACAAAAUGAGGCAACCGUACAAGGAAAAAUCAUAUUGGCUGAGAAGUGGAGGGAAAAAUACAAGAAUAAAAUACAUGAGAUUUUACUCGGCAUGACCUGGUUCCAAGAAGAACAAAAUCAUAAAGGGGUCUCAAAAUCCAGCAGUGAGCAAAACAGGAACCCUUCUGAAAUCAGCUGUUAUCAAAUUCCAUGUUAUAGAUUGGAAAUUUAAGAUAAUCAUGCUUGCCAUGGAAAACCUGAACUCAAAUCAAUUGUUCCAUACUGAGAUGCACUUAUGGUAUAAAGUUACCCCGGCUAUGCUCUCGACUCUGCCAGCUACUUUGACUGUUAUCAAAAAAAUCUGAACUAUAGUCCUGGCUACCAAAUGCCAACUUCUGAAACAUACGAAUCUGCGCAGAAUGUUGUCUUGAGUCAAAGAUUUCACUUUGGCCAGGUUUCAUUCC
rnacentral:misc_RNA from 1 species